CGGGCCGGGGCCGCUGCGAGGGGGUUGUUGUCACCCUGAGCCAGAGCGGGCUGAGACCGUCGAAAGACAAAGCCGGCGGAGGAGCCAGAGUUCACUCAAGAGUGCAUCAUUGAGCCCAAGAAAGAAGUGGAAGAAUCAAAUCGGAGGAGGAUGACGUGGGUUGAAGAACUUGUCGAAAUGGUAUUCUUAGGGGACAUUGGGGCAAGUGCGAGUUUUGUAUUCUCUUCAAGCUGCUCCACUGCAUUGUCUGUGAUGUGACUUCCCUCAACAUAGAAGCAGCAGCUGCCCUCUUCAAAGAAGUCUAGUGCGAGCUGGGUGGCACUGAAAGGCCGCGGGUCGUGAGUUUGUCAUGCAAGUUAGCAUGAAGUGCUUUAUCACAGUGCUUGUGGAGUUUGUCAUCUUGGACAAAAAAAAUAGACAAGCUCAAGGUCAAAUGGUACUAAGUGUUCUGAAUGGUUGCUCUGGCGUUACUACCCAUGAUAAAGGAGCAGAGUCAGUAAAAGGAAGGCAGUUUGUAUUUGUGGUUAUUAAAAGACAUGGUUGUGGUGAGAGUGGUGUGAGGGGGAAUUAGCUCAAAUGGUAGAGCGCUCGCUUAGCAUGCGAGAGGUAGCGGGAUCGAUGCCCGCAUUCUCCACUGGUAUGUUUUGUUUGUUGUUGGAGAAAAAACAGUUAACUACAAAAUAUGUUUUCAUGUAUUGAACUGGAAUUUUAAAGUAAAAUAAGUUCUUAUUUUUUAGAUGUACAUGGUUUAUUUCUUAAAU